rnacentral:misc_RNA from 1 species
UCUAAUUUUUCUUUUAAUAUAUCUUUCUACUCUUGAUAUUGAUGGUUACAACCUGGUUCUAUAAGACAGACCAUCAUGUGUAUACCUAAAUGGAGAACCUUGAUAGAAGACUCCAUGCAUUCCAAGUCAAAUAUUAGAGAAAACCAAAGAAAAAUUAGAACUUAAUUCCCCAUGUAAUUACAAUUGUCUUUAUUGUAUUUUUAACCUUAUAUUUUCACACCUUUUACCCUUUCCCUGAAGCUUGAUCAUUGCUGCUGGGCUAAGCAAAGCCACUAAUCAACAACGUUUACCCUUCUUGCAAAAAAGCGCUCCUGAUCCUGCUGUGAUUGAACUCACUAGGGAAGAUGGUCUCGCACCUAAGCUAGAUGCUCUUGCAUAAUUAGAAGAAGCUCCAGCCCCAGAUGGAGUAAAGAAUGCUCCAUUUAGCAACAAAUCUCCUUCAGACCUCCAAUUCCAACGCCUCCACUCACUCUCUGGUGCAUCCUCAUGCUUAGUCACCUCUUUGUUAAAUCUAUCAUUAGGAGCAACAAAUCUGUUUCCUUGACUAUUAAUUGUAGGAUCAGCACUGCCACCAAUUGCAUACAUUUCCCAAUGUGAAUAGUCAUUGUUCACAACAUGGAAAUACCCGUGUCUACACCUUGGCAUUCUCUGCACAAGCCCUUCUCCAAAAUGGUUGAAGGCAAUUGUGACCUGCAUGUUCUUAUCCUGAGUAUAGGUAUCACUGUGGCCCAUGAGCAUAACCUUGUUAUGAUGAGUCAUGUAAUUGUUAGAGAUAGUAAUGGCUGUGGAACCAUGGAUGGCAUCAAUUAAUCCAUCAUUGCAAUUUGACAAAGAGCAAUGAUCAACCCACACAUGACUUCCUCCAAAGAUGGAUACACCGUCACCGUCUGAUAUAGUCCUCCACCCAUAAUGGCUAGGGGAGUCCCUCACAUAAGUAUUCCCUCCUUGCUUACAGUCAUGUAUAUUUAUACCAUGGAUUAUAAUAUUGGUCACAUAUUGUAUAGUGAUACAUGGACCACCUGCAAUGUGGACACUAGCUCCUCUUCCAUCAAUGGUCUUGAAAGAGUUCAUUAUAAGCUCUUCCUUUAGCUUGAUCACCAUGUCACGAGCAAAAAUUAUCCAGAGAGGCUCAUCUUGGAUAACUGCAUGUCUUAAAGUCCCUGGCUUGGGGUUCACAGGGUCAUCAUCUCCAGAAUCUGUAACAACAUAUAUCUUACCAUCUCUCCCACCAAUGGCAUGUUUACCAAACCCAAUUGCACAAUCAGCCAACCUCUGCCGGUUCUUCUCCCAGUUGGGGUCACACCGCCAGCAAUCGUCAAUUGGAUUGCCCGUUCCACAGGAGAGAAACCCCAAAUUCCUCCUGGAUGCAUUGAUGCUCCUGUGAACUUCUUCUACUACUAAUUCAGGAUCCUGAACUGGUGAAGAAGAAAUGAAUCUUGGAGCCACUGCUACUAGUAAAAGAGUUAAAAGAGAAAGUGGGAUUGCCAUUGGCUUCAUCUCAGUGUAGGGAUAGCAGGAAAUGGGCACUGAAA